rnacentral:pre_miRNA from 14 species
UCUUCAGAGUCUGGGGUGGUCGUGCAAAUCCCGGACGAGCCCCCAAAUAUAAGAUCCCCAAAGAGAGACCCUUAUUCAAGUCUUGGGAAAUCGUGGAACCCAGACACAGAUAAUUUU